ACGAACGCUGGCGGCAUGCCUAACACAUGCAAGUCGAACGAGACCUUCGGGUCUAGUGGCGCACGGGUGCGUAACGCGUGGGAACCUGCCCUUAGGUUCGGAAUAACUCCCCGAAAGGGGAGCUAAUACCGGAUAAUGUCUUCGGACCAAAGAUUUAUCGCCUUUGGAUGGGCCCGCGUUGGAUUAGCUAGUUGGUAGGGUAAAAGCCUACCAAGGCGACGAUCCAUAGCUGGUCUGAGAGGAUGAUCAGCCACACUGGGACUGAGACACGGCCCAGACUCCUACGGGAGGCAGCAGUGGGGAAUAUUGGACAAUGGGCGAAAGCCUGAUCCAGCAAUGCCGCGUGAGUGAUGAAGGCCUUAGGGUUGUAAAGCUCUUUUACCCGGGAUGAUAAUGACAGUACCGGGAGAAUAAGCUCCGGCUAACUCCGUG
rnacentral:rRNA from 1 species